UACGGGGGGGGCAAGCGUUGUUCGGAAUUACUGGGCGUAAAGGGCUUGUAGGUGGCCAACUAAGUCAGACGUGAAAUCCCUCGGCUUAACCGGGGAACUGCGUCUGAUACUGGAUGGCUUGAAUUCGGGAGAGGGAUGCGGAAUUCCAGGUGUAGCGGUGAAAUGCGUAGAUAUCUGGAGGAACACCGGUGGCGAAGGCGGCAUCCUGGACCGGCAUUGACGCUGAGGCGCGAAAGCCAGGGGAGCAAACGGG
rnacentral:rRNA from 1 species